rnacentral:rRNA from 1 species
CGGCGGACGGGUGAGUAACACGUGGAUAACCUACCUAUAAGACUGGGAUAACUUCGGGAAACCGGAGCUAAUACCAGAUAACAUGUUGAACCGCAUGGUUCAACAGUGAAAGACGGUCUUGCUGUCACUUAUAGAUGGAUCCGCGCCGCAUUAGCUAGUUGGUAAGGUAACGGCUUACCAAGGCAACGAUGCGUAGCCGACCUGGGAGGGUGAUCGGCCACACUGGAACUGAGACACGGUCCAG